UACGGAGGGUGCAAGCGUUAUCCGGAUUCACUGGGUUUAAAGGGUGCGUAGGCGGGCAGGUAAGUCCGUGGUGAAAUCUCUGAGCUUAACUCAGAAACUGCCAUGGAUACUAUUUAUCUUGAAUACUUUGGAGGUAAGCGGAAUAUGUCAUGUAGCGGUGAAAUGCUUAGAUAUGACAUAGAACACCAAUUGCGAAGGCAGCUUACUACACAGUUAUUGACACUGAGGCACGAAAGCGUGGGGAUCAAACAGG
rnacentral:rRNA from 1 species